rnacentral:misc_RNA from 1 species
CUUGCUUACUCCAUUUGUUGUCUCUCUCUAUCCCUCUCCUCUCUCUUUCUCUGGCUGUGCUCUGUCUGUCACUGCACUCUUGAGAGUGAGAGAGAGGUUUAUGGUGAUAUGGAAGGAGUUUGAGAUUUUAUUUUUUUCAUGGUAUAAUGAGAAGACGAAUUAAUUUCUUUUUUCUUGAAGAAGAUGGCUCUGGAGGAGAAUGUACAGCUUCCCAGCUCAGCAUUGGUUCUUGAUGGGUUAUACUGUGAAGAGGAGGGCAUUGAGGAAGAUUAUGCUUGCGUUGAUGAUUGUAGUGAAGUUUAUGAUCAGGUUGUGAGAAAGGUGUCACCUUUUUCUGGUGUUUUGCUUGAACAAGACUUGUUUUGGGAAGAUGAUGAGCUACUUACUCUAAUCUCCAAAGAAAAAGAUACCCACUUUUGUUUUGAUAAUGUAGUCUCUGAUGGGUGCUUAAUGGUGGUUCGUAAAGAGGCUAUUGAUUGGGUUUUGAGGGUAAAAGCUCACUAUGGUUUCACUGCUUUGACUGGUGUUCUUGCUGUGAACUACUUUGAUAGGUUCAUUUCAAGUUUAAAUUUUCCAAGAGACAAGCCUUGGAUGGGUCAACUUGCUGCUGUGGCUUGUUUGUCUCUGGCUGCCAAAGUGGAGGAGACCCAAGUGCCUCUUCUUUUAGACUUGCAAGUGGAGGAAUCAAAGUAUGUUUUCGAAGCCAAGACUAUAAAGAGAAUGGAGCUUCUGGUGCUCUCUACUCUUCAGUGGAGGAUGAAUCCUGUGACUCCAAUUUCCUUCUUUGAUCACAUUAUAAGGAGGCUUGGACUAAAGAAUCAAUUGCAUUGGGAAUUUUUUAGGAGGUGUGAGCGUUUACUUCUCUCUGUCAUUGUCGAUUCAAGGUUCAUGAGUUAUCUUCCUUCUACGUUGGCCACCGCAACUAUGCUGCAUGUUAUUAAGGAGGCGGAGCCUUGUAAUCAAGUGGAAUACCAGCAUCAGCUUAUGUCUGUGAUCAAAAUCAGUGAGGAUAAAUUGAACGAGUGUUACAAGCUCAUUUUGGAGCUUUCAGGCAGUGAGAAUCAAAGCUGCAAGAGAAAGUAUCCAUUGACACCCAGUAGUCCAAAUGGAGUCAUUGAUGCAUACUUCAGCUGCGAUAGCUCAAAUGAGUCGUGGGCUGUGUCGUCAACAGCCUCAUCAUCACCAGUGUCUCGAUUCAAAAGAAAUAGAACCCAGGAUAAGCAGAUGCGGGUGCCCUCACUAAAUCGUUUGUCUGUAGAUGUGCUUGGCAGUCCUCACUAAUAUUUACUUGUCCUUUUGUCUACUACAAAACAUGUCAUUAUAACAUUUCUCUGUUUUGCAUAUUAAUUGUAUUAUGCAGUUCUUGAGGCGCAACCUUUUUGUGCUUUACCGAUUAUCAAUGUAUUUCGGGCGUAAAAUUUGAAACUUAAUUCAUUCUCAGU